rnacentral:rRNA from 1 species
CCUACGGGAGGUAGCAGUGGGGAAUAUUGCGCAAUGGGCGAAAGCCUGACGCAGCGACGCCGCGUGAGUGAUGAAGGUCUUCGGAUCGUAAAGCUCUGUCAGCAGGGAAGAACGGUCACUGUGCUAAUCAGCAGUGAAUUGACGGUACCUGCAAAGGAAGCACCGGCUAACUCCGUGCCAGCAGCCGCGGUAAUACGGAGGGUGCGAGCGUUGAUCGGAGUUACUGGGCGUAAAGCGCUCGUAGGCGGUAUGUCAAGUCAAUGAUGAAAUACCCGCGCUCAACGUGGGAACUGCCUGUGAAACUAGAAAACUAGAGUGUGUGAGAGGAUAGCGGAAUUCCAGGUGUAGCGGUGAAAUCCGUAGAUAUCAGGAGGAACAUCAGUGGCGAAGGCGACUAUCUGGCACAUAACUGACGCUGAGGAGCGAAAGCGUGGGUAGCAAACAGGAUUAGAUACCCUAGUAGUC